rnacentral:rRNA from 1 species
UUGUUUUUUGUUUUGAGCGUUUGGUGGAUGCCUUGGCAUCGUGUGCCGAUGAAGGACGUUGUGGCUGGCGAUAGCCUCGGGGAGUUAGCGAGCGUGCGUUGAUCCGGGGGUUUCCGAAUGGGGUAACCUAACCAUAGUUGUGUGUGGUUGGCGCGCACUGAAGUUUUGAUAGGUGUGUGUUGGUAGGGUGGGAAGUGAAACAUCUUAGUACCGCCUUUUGUGAGAUAGUCCGUGUGUAGUGGUGAGCGAUAGCGGGUGUUGGCUAAACCGUUUGCGUGUGAUACUCGGCAGGGGUUGCGCGGGCGGGGUUGUGGGACGAAGUCGUUGAGAAUCUGCCGGUUCUUGGAGCGUUUUUGUGUGUGCGAGGUGAACAGGUUGGGAUGCCUGGCCGUAGACCGUGAGAGUCGGGUAGCUGGUUGUGCAUGCUUUGCGUUGGGUUUUGUUCCCGAGUAGCGCGGGGCUCGUGGAAUCUCGUGUGAAUCUGCCCAGACCAUUGGGUAAGCCUGGACGGGCAUGGUGACCGAUAGUGGAUUAGUACCGUGAGGGAAUGGUGAAAAGUACCCCGGGAGGGGAGUGAAAUAGUUCCUGAAACCAAGCGUUUUUAAGCCGUCAGAGCCGCGGGGUCUUCGGACUGGUGUGGUGGUGGCGUGCCUAUUGAAGAAUGAGCCUGCGAGUUAUGUUGCGUUGCGAGGUUAACCUGUUGUGGGGUAGUCGUAGGGAAACCGAGUCCUGGGGGCGUAAUAGUAGCGUGGCAUAGACCCGAAGCGGGGUGAUCUACCCAUGGCCAGGUUGAAGCGGCGGUAGAACGUCGUGGAGGACCGCACCCACC